rnacentral:rRNA from 1 species
AUGGCCUCCUCCGGCUCCUCCAACUCAAACCUCUCCGGCCAGGUCACCGAGCGCCUCACCCGCACCAACUACAUCCUCUGGCGCACCCAGAUCACGCCGCAGCUCCAAGGUGCUGGUUUCUUCGGGUAUGUUGAUGGAAGCAUACCCGAGCCGGCCAAAACCGUCGUCACCAAGGAUAAGGAUGGCAAGGAGGAAUCCAUCCCAAAUCCGCUCCACCACGUGUGGAUCCGGGAGGAUCAACAGGUACUGGGAUAUCUCGUGAAUAACCUCUCGAAGAAAGUGCUCGUGCAGGUCACGUCGAUCGCCCAUGCACACGAGCUGUGGUCGGCACUGGCGAAGAUGUUCUCG